rnacentral:rRNA from 1 species
AUGGAUGUCUCCUCUCUGGAUCUACCCUCAUUACCCUCAUGGAUAAUUGAUUACGGGCAGGUCGAUUUCACCGUUGGGGACACUAAGGACGGAGAGCUCUCUAUGCAUCUGAUGAUUUUCACCUCCAUGUUUGGAUCCGUGGUGUGGACGGUGAUGGAAUUGGGGUUUGGGUGCAGCAGCUCAUACCCUCUUUGA